GAUGAACGCUGGCGGCGUGCCUAAUACAUGCAAGUCGAGCGAACGGACGAGAAGCUUGCUUCUCUGAUGUUAGCGGCGGACGGGUGAGUAACACGUGGAUAACCUACCUAUAAGACUGGGAUAACUUCGGGAAACCGGAGCUAAUACCGGAUAAUAUUUUGAACCGCAUGGUUCAAAAGUGAAAGACGGUCUUGCUGUCACUUAUAGAUGGAUCCGCGCUGCAUUAGCUAGUUGGUAAGGUAACGGCUUACCAAGGCAACGAUGCAUAGCCGACCUGAGAGGGUGAACGGCCACCCUGGAACUGAGACACGGUCCAGACUCCUACGGGAGGCAGCAGUAGGGAAUCUUCCGCAAUGGGAGAAAGCCUGACGGAGCAACGACGCGUGAGUGAUGAAGGUCUUCGGAUCGUAAAACUCUGUUAUUAGGGAAGAACAUAUGUGUAAGUAACUGUGCACAUCUUGACGGUACCUAAUCAGAAAGCCACGGCUAACUACGUG
rnacentral:rRNA from 1 species